GGACGAACGCUGGCGGCGUGCUUAACACAUGCAAGUCGAGCGAUGAAGUUUCCUUCGGGAAAUGGAUUAGCGGCGACGGGUGAGUAACACGUGGGUAACCUGCCUCAUAGAGGGGAAUAGCCUUUCGAAAGGAAGAUUAAUACCGCAUAAGAUUGUAGUACCGCAUGGUACAGCAAUUAAAGGAGCAAUCCGCUAUGAGAUGGACCCGCGUCUGAUUAGCUAGUUGGUGGGGUAACGGCCCACCAAGGCGACGAUCAGUAGCCGACCUGAGAGGGUGACCGGCCACAUUGGGACUGAGACACGGCCCAAACUCCUACGGGAGGCAGCAGUGGGGAAUAUUGCACAAUGGGGGAAACCCUGACCCAGCAACGCCGCGUGGAGGAAGAAGGUUUUCGGAUCGUAAACUCCUGUCCUCAGGGAAGAGCAGAAGACGGUACCUGAGGAGGAAGCCCCGGCUAACUACGUG
rnacentral:rRNA from 1 species